rnacentral:pre_miRNA from 1 species
AUCACCUAGGGACCUUGUUAAAAUGCAAAUUCUGAUUCAAUAGGUUUGAGGUGGAGCCCAGAGUUGGCAUUUCUAACAAGCUCCCAGGUAAUCCUGA